AGCGAACGCUGGCGGCAGGCUUAACACAUGCAAGUCGAGCGGGCCCUUCGGGGUCAGCGGCAGACGGGUGAGUAACACGUGGGAACGUACCCUUCGGUUCGGAAUAACUCAGGGAAACUUGAGCUAAUACCGGAUACGCCCUUUGGGGGAAAGGUUUACUGCCGAAGGAUCGGCCCGCGUCUGAUUAGCUAGUUGGUGGGGUAAUGGCCCACCAAGGCGACGAUCAGUAGCUGGUCUGAGAGGANGAUCAGCCACACUGGGACUGAGACACGGCCCAGACUCCUACGGGAGGCAGCAGUGGGGAAUAUUGGACAAUGGGCGCAAGCCUGAUCCAGCCAUGCCGCGUGAGUGAUGAAGGCCUUAGGGUUGUAAAGCUCUUUCGACGGGGACGAUAAUGACGGUACCCGUAGAAGAAGCCCCGGCUAACUUCGUGCCAGCCGCCGCGGUAAC
rnacentral:rRNA from 1 species